ACGCACGCUGGCGGCGUGCUUAACACAUGCAAGUCGCACGGAAAGGCCCUGCUUUUGUGGGGUGCUCGAGUGGCGAACGGGUGAGUAACACGUGAGUAACCUGCCCUUGACUUUGGGAUAACUUCAGGAAACUGGGGCUAAUACCGGAUAGGAGCUCCUGCUGCAUGGUGGGGGUUGGAAAGUUUCGGCGGUUGGGGAUAGACUCGCGGCUUAUCAGCUUGUUGGUGGGGUAGUGGCUUACCAAGGCUUUGACGGGUAGCCGGCCUGAGAGGGUGACCGGCCACAUUGGGACUGAGAUACGGCCCAGACUCCUACGGGAGGCAGCAGUGGGGAAUAUUGCACAAUGGGCGGAAGCCUGAUGCAGCAACGCCGCGUGCGGGAUGACGGCCUUCGGGUUGUAAACCGCUUUCGCCUGUGACGAAGCGUGAGUGACGGUAAUGGGUAAAGAAGCACCGGCUAACUACGUG
rnacentral:rRNA from 1 species